rnacentral:ncRNA from 2 species
CUUUAUUCACAGGGGAGCCACGUGCUGAGAGGAAGCUUUUGUUUCGACCCUUUCACCUGAUGCGGAUAAUGCCGACGUAGGAAGUGCUUGAAUAAACAAU